CUUUUCUUUUCCUUUGCUUUUUGUUUUCUCUUCUUUCUUCUAUCCUUCUCACCCCGAUAGAAACAAGAAAGAAACCAUUUAUUUCUUCUCUCUUCUCCUUCGUCUCACAAAUUUGAGUACCCUUGAACCCGAUUGCUCAGAGAUGAACCCCAACUUUCCUCAAAUCUAUACCAGAUUAUUUCUUCAAAUCUUUCCAUAAAUCAAUACUAGAAUAAAUCAGAGGUUUUAAGUAACAUAAAUCAGAUCUAUUUUGCGUGAAAAACCCUUAAAUCGAGCACAAAUUAAACGUAAUCUUAUUACAAGAAAAAUCAACACCCAUUUCACAGAUUUAGAGUAACCUAAGAUCAGCAGAAGAUUCAGCAGAAUAUUCAAGUACACCGUGAGAGUUGUGUGGAACGAAUGAUGGCAGGGAAGUCAUUAGGAGCUGAUACAGUUCACAGUAUUAGUCCACCAUUAUAGUCCACCAAGGAGAGGCUGUGGUGGAGGUGGUGGAUAUGGUGCAAGGAAAUAGUCGAAUAUGAAUUGCAGGCCUAAAGACCUUCAUAUUCCAUUGAAAGAUCUGGACAAGUGAGGGAUGUAUAUUUGCCUAGAGAUUUUUACUCAGGGUGAGCUUUUACUUGUGUGAGUUUUCAGGUGUCAAAUAGUAUUUGAUUGCGCUAUGAUUGCGUCGGUGUUUACUUUUGAUCAACUUGUUAAUUGUCAAGGUGUGCGAUAUUGAUAUAAUGGUUCUGUAUGCUUGUGCGAGAUUGAUUUGUAUAUGUGCCUGACACUGAUGUUGUAGUGUUUUCUCUCAGUGGGUAGACUUUGUCUAGAAAAAUUUGUCCCUUGACCAUAUUAAGAUUUAGUCAUUGUCGGUUAUUGGGUUAUCCACAUGUAUCUGUUCCUGCUAGUUAUGUUGUUGAACAUGGGGUAUAUCAUUUAGCUCUGUCAAUAAAGUUGAAAUAAAUAGUCGAAGACAUUCUGCUUUUGCUGUACAAGGUCAACUGAAUUUGGGAAUUCUGGAGUUUACGGUUAAUAAUUACGGUAAUGUGUAUGAAGAUUAAUAUAGAAAUGUGUAAAGGAUAAUUAUUAACUGGACUCCCUACUCACAGAAUAAACAACAAGUACAAAGAAAUAUUUAUUCUAAGUGAAGACAACAUUAACUACUUUGGUUUUUUAAAUUUCAGUUGCAGUGUUCCCUUAAGUUUGGAUAACCAGUUGAACGCGUUGUAUUAAUUGUCCGAGUUGAAUCUGAAAUAUAAUUGUUUUUGUUAUGAAGGAAGUGUAUGUUCACAAUCCUUGUUAGUAUUCUUUGUUAUUGGCUUUGAUUUUUAACUUUGGUCUGUGUUCUCUGUUUAUUGUGUUAUGCAAAUGACUGGAGAUGGUGGAGGUGGUAAUUUGAACUAGUAAGGAACAAGUAUUGGAGAUGGUGGUGAUGGUGACUUGUAGUUAAGUGAAGUGGGGGUACUGGAGAUUGUGAUGGUGGUGAUUUGUAAUAGUAUGGAUCAGGUUGUGGUGAUGAAUUGAAGCUGAAGUAGUAUGGGGUGAUUUAUGGAUAUGGUGGUGGAAAUGAAUUUUAGUAGCAUGGUGUUGGUGCUUCUUUUUUUUUUUCCAUUUUGUUAACAGUCUCCUGACUUUGUUCCCUGAUACACAUUGUUUUCAAUUCUCGCAAUUUUCUGUAGUUGUUAGUAACCUUCACGGUUUAAGUAUUCAAUGUUGGUUCUUAGAAUUCUAAAUUUAAAACGA